AUUGAACGCUGGCGGCAGGCUUAACACAUGCAAGUCGAGCGGAGAUGAGGUGCUUGCACCUUAUCUUAGCGGCGGACGGGUGAGUAAUGCUUAGGAAUCUGCCUAUUAGUGGGGGACAACAUUCCGAAAGGAAUGCUAAUACCGCAUACGUCCUACGGGCGAAAGCAGGGGAUCUUCGGACCUUGCGCUAAUAGAUGAGCCUAAGUCGGAUUAGCUAGUUGGUGGGGUAAAGGCCUACCAAGGCGACGAUCUGUAGCGGGUCUGAGAGGAUGAUCCGCCACACUGGGACUGAGACACGGCCCAGAGUCCUACGGGAGGCAGCAGUGGGGAAUAUUGGACAAUGGGGGAACCCUGAUCCAGCCAUGCCGCGUGUGUGAAGAAGGCCUUAUGGUUGUAAAGCACUUUAAGCGAGGAGGAGGCUACUGAGACUAAUACUCUUGGAUAGUGGACGUUACUCGCAGAAUAAGCACCGGCUAACUCUGUGCCAGCAGCCGCCGUAAGAC
rnacentral:rRNA from 1 species